rnacentral:rRNA from 1 species
UACGGAGGGUGCAAGCGUUGUUCGGAAUUACUGGGCGUAAAGCGCGCGUAGGCGGUUUGUUAAGUCAGAUGUGAAAGCCCAGGGCUUAACCUUGGACGUGCAUUUGAAACUGGCAGACUUGAGUAUUGGAGGGGGUGGUGGAAUUCCCGGUGUAGAGGUGAAAUUCGUAGAUAUCGGGAGGAAUACCGGUGGCGAAGGCGACCACCUGGCCAAAUACUGACGCUGAGGUGCGAAGGCGUGGGGAGCAAACAGG